ensembl:lncRNA
GCGAGCGUCAGGGUGGGCAUGGCCAAAACAACAAACAAAACACACUGGAAAUAAAUCAGAACUAACUUACCUAUAGUGAGUCAACCCCAAAAGAAAAAUACAAACCUCUAACCUGUCUCCCUACCCGAAACAGGAGAAAAAGGUUGUAAAAGAAAUGGCUUCCCACCCCUACAGCUACCAUGUCCAGAUAAACGACUCUCUACACUGUUUUUACUGCAGCCUAGCUCUGUCACACGGCACGAAGGGCCCCAACCGCGCAGCUCACUGGAAACAGGAAGUAGGAGGAGACUGCCGGCCCAGUCAGGUCCCAAUUUGUAGCUGGCCUCAUUCCCUCUUCCACCAAUGGUCAGCCUCCACCUGGAAACUUGCAUAACACAGACAUCACAGAGUACAAACAAUGCCCCCGCAUGGUGUGACAAGUAACAGCACCACACGGCAACAAUGACCUGGGUCAUAACACCCCCCUAUCUAAAAUCAAGCAUCUCCACCCUUUAAGAGAUGCUGAAUCUAGGUCUCUACUCGGGAUAGUGCAUCGGCCACAAUAUUAUCAGCCCCUCGGAGAUGAUGAAUGUCAAUGUUAAAGUCCUGCAGCAAUAAGGACCAACGCAUAAGGCGCUGGUUGUUAUUUCGCAUGCGAGAAAGGAAGACCAGGGGAUUGUGGUCAGUAUAAACAACAGUUGGUGCGGGGCUGGAACUGACAUACACUUCAAAAUGUUGGAGGGCCAAAAGUAACGCUAGAGUCUCCUUCUCAAUUGUACUGUAAUUCAUCUGAUGCUUAUUGAACUUUUUUGAGAAGUAGCACACUGGGUGAUCAAUUCCCCGGUCAUCCUCCUGCAAAAGUACAGCACCUGUACCAUAAGCACUGGCAUCCUUCAACCGGGCAAAAACUUCCCGCAGCGUGUCCAUGUGCUCUGGCCAUGUUGGUGAAUAAACUACAAUAUCAUCUAAGUAAACCUCACAGCCAUGGACACCCAAUAGCACCGUAUUCAUCAGUCUUUGGAAC